rnacentral:misc_RNA from 1 species
GAUGAAGAACGCAGCGAAAUGCGAUAAGUAGUGUGAAUUGCAGAAUUCAGUGAAUCAUCGAAUCUUUGAACGCACAUUGCGCCCCUCGGUAUCCCGAGGGGCAUGCCUGUUCGAGCGUCAUUUCACCACUCAAGCCUGGCUUGGUGUUGGGCGACGUCCUCUUUGGGGACGCGCCUCGAAACGCUCGGCGGCGUGGCACCGGCUUUAAGCGUAGCAGAAUCUUUCGCUUUGGAAGUCGGGGCCCCGUCUGCCGGAAGACCUGCUCGCAAGGUUGACCUCGGAUCAGGCAGGGAUACCCGCUGAACUUAAGCAUAUCAAUAAGCGGAGGA